AUUGAACGCUGGCGGCAGGCCUAACACAUGCAAGUCGAACGAGUGGCGGACGGGUGAGUAAUGUCUGGGCAACUGCCUGAUGGAGGGGGAUAACUAAUGGAAACGGUAGCUAAUACCCAAUACCCUCCGCUGUGCCCAGAUGGGAUUAGCUUGGUGGUGGGGUACCGGCUCACCAAUGCGACGAUCCCUAGCUGGUCUGUUAGGAUGACCAGCCACACUGGAACUGAGACACGGUCCAGACUCCUACGGGAGGCAGCAGUGGGGAAUAUGGCACAAUGGGCGCAAGCCUGAUGCAGCCAUGCCGCGUGUAUGAAGAAGGCGUUCGGGUUGUAAAGUACUUUCAGCGGGGAGGCGUUACCCGCAGAAGAAGCACCGGCUAACUCCGGGCCAGCAGCCGCGGUAAUAC
rnacentral:rRNA from 1 species